rnacentral:rRNA from 1 species
UACGAAGGGGGCUAGCGUUGCUCGGAAUCACUGGGCGUAAAGCGCACGUAGGCGGCUUUUUAAGUCAGGGGUGAAAUCCUGGAGCUCAACUCCAGAACUGCCUUUGAUACUGGGAAGCUUGAGUCCGGGAGAGGAGAGCGGAAUUCCCAGUGUAGCGGUGAAAUGCGUAGAUAUUGGGAGGAACACCGGUGGCGAAGGCGGCUCUCUGGACCGGUACUGACGCUCAGGAGCGAAAGCGUGGGGAGCGAUCCGG